rnacentral:rRNA from 1 species
GGAUCAGUUGGUCGGUCGUGUCUUGGUACGUACUGGUCAAAUUGAUUCCUACCUUCUGACGAAUCACAAUGUCAUUAAUUUGGUGUCGCAGGAAAUCAGGACUGUUACUUUGAAAAAAUUAGAGUGUUUAAAGCAGGCUCGUGCUUGAAUACAUUAGCAUAGAAUAAUGAAAUAAGACGUUUGAUUCUAUUUUGUUAGUUUCUAGGAUCGAUAUAAUGAUUA